rnacentral:misc_RNA from 1 species
GAUGAAGAACGCAGCGAAAUGCGAUACUUGGUGUGAAUUGCAGAAUCCCGUGAACCAUCGAGUCUUUGAACGCAAGUUGCGCCCGAAGCCAUUAGGCCGAGGGCACGCCUGCCUGGGCGUCACACGUCGUUGCCCCCCCAUCUACUCCUUCGGGAUUGCGGGGGGUGGAUGAUGGCCUCCCGUGCGCCUCACCGCGCGGUUGGCAUAAAUGCCAAGUCCUCGGCGACGCACGCCACGACAAUCGGUGGUUGCGAAACCUCGGUUGCCCGUCGUGUGCGGUCGUCGCGCAUCGAGGGCUCGAAAAAAUUGCCGGGUUCCGGCUCGGCUUUCAACGCGACCCCAGGUCAGGCGGGGUUACCCGCUGAAUUUAAGCAUAUCAAUAAGCGGAGGA